rnacentral:tRNA from 1 species
AUUACUUUGGCAGAAUAGUGCAAUAAAUUUAGAAUUUAUGAAUGUAAUCAUCUUACAGGUAAUA